rnacentral:misc_RNA from 1 species
CAUCCCGUCCGCGUCUCUUCAAUUGUUGGAUCGAGUAAUUGCUCGUCCGAUGUCGGUUUUCCUGUGCUGAAUACCUAUUGCGAGGGCAUUGUGUUGGCUACCAUCGUCUCAUUCCCGUCCCGUGCUGCUUCCCCUCGUGGGCUGGUGGUGCGGGGUGGGCCAAAUAGCACGCGUCGUGUCUCGCGCCCCGUUUGCCCGUUAAAUGGCAUUCGGAUCGAUGAACCACGACGUGUCGCUCGGUCUCUCGGGUACGGAACAUCAUGUGGGUACGGGGCCCUCGGCCUUGGAGCACCACAAACAAGCGUUCUACGCUUCGUGCGAACGACCGUCAGCUCGGUCUCCUG